rnacentral:rRNA from 1 species
UACGGGGGGGGCAAGCGUUGUUCGGAAUUACUGGGCGUAAAGGGCUCGUAGGUGGCCAACUAAGUCAGGCGUGAAAUCCCUCGGCUUAACCGGGGAACUGCGUCUGAUACUGGAUGGCUAGAGUUUGGGAGAGGGAUGCGGAAUUCCAGGUGUAGCGGUGAAAUGCGUAGAUAUCUGGAGGAACACCGGUGGCGAAGGCGGCAUCCUGGACCAACACUGACGCUGAGGAGCGAAAGCCAGAGGAGCAAACGGG